CCUACGGGUGGCAGCAGUAGGGAAUCUUCGUCAAUGGGCGCAAGCCUGAACGAGCAAUGCCGCGUGAAGGAGGGAGGUCUUCGGGUCGUAAAGUUCUGUUGAAGGGGAAACAGAGCGGAGAGAGGAAAUGGUCUCCGAUUGAUAUUACCCUUCGAGGAAGUCACGGCUAACUACGUGCAAGCAGCCGCGGUAAUACGUAGGUGGCGAGCGUUAUCCGGAUUGAUUGGGUGUAAAGGGUGCGUAGGCGGCCUGCUAAGUCUGUAGUGAAAGGUACCGGCUCAACCGGGACAGGCUCUGGAAACUGGCGGGCUAGAGAGCAGGAGGGGGCGGUGGAACUCCAUGUGUAGCGGUGAAAUGCGUAGAUAUAUGGAAGAACACCAGUGGCGAAGGCGGCCGCCUGGCCUUUUACUGACGCUGAGGCACGAAAGCGUGGGGAGCAAAUAGGAUUAGAUACCCCAGUAGUC
rnacentral:rRNA from 1 species